ensembl:lncRNA
AUAGAACCCGUAGAUGGCGAGGGUGAGAGGACAGGGAGAGGUAAAGAGAUCGAAAGAGAGAUGUUUUUCCUCCUCGCGACAGUAAUGUCAUCUCCCAGCGGACUUCGAGGCAGUUGUGGGCUGCCGUCUCCUGCCUGCAGCCUCCCAGCUGAGGCAAGCCAGACAGACAGACGUAGGUCGAUAAUAACGGCACUAGCUACUCUCUUCCGCAACGUCAAGCUACGCCUCUGAGAGACGCUGGAGGAAAGACGCAAAAGAAUGAAGGGAAGUGGUUAAGAUGUGAGAAGACUGUGGCAAAACAGCCUUAGGAGAGAGAACGCAUCUGCUCUGGACUACCAUAGUAAGCGAGGUACUCCACUCGAACCUGUCCUGCAUGUCUCCGAUUAGAAAAAU